GCUAACCUUAGCUUAUGUAGCGUGGGCUGAGUGCCUGGCCGGGCUUUCAGGGGAAGUGCCAGUGCUGCCUACUGUGGUACCAUGGCGGAGAGGGUCCAAGGCCAUGCUGGUUCACAUUCAACCUUACUUCUUGGAGAGGGGCAGAAGCCAGUAGCACUCUCUGUCCUGUAAUUUUUUAAUAACUUUUUUAAAAUAUUUAUUUAUUUAUUUAUUUAUUUUAUGUAUAUGAGUGCUCUAUGUGCAUGUACUCCUGCAUGCCAAAAGAGGACAUCAGAACUCAUUAUAGAUGGUUGUAAGCCACAAUGUGGUUGCUGGGAAUUGAACUCCGGACCUUUGGAAGAGCAGCUGGUGUUCUUAACUGCUGAGUCAUUUCUCUAGCCCAUAUUUAAUAACUUUUUCCCGACUUAAAGUACCAGUUAUAGAGUAUGUGCCUAUAAAAAAAUAAUUUUCCUUAGUUUUUAGCCAUCUGCAAUAAGUGGAGUUUAUAUUUUGAUGUAUUUUCAGUUAGACUCUUUGUUGUAUUCAUGCAUUUUGCAUUGAGUUGAAAUUAUGCUGUGUGUACAGUCUUGUGCAUGGCUUUGCUCCCUUGUUACUGUAUAUACUGUAUAUAUAAAUGUCCUGGAAUAAGAGUUCUUGGGCCUUAUUCCAGAAGAAGCAGUGCUAGUCUCUCAUCCUAAGGCAGGAGAUUCUGAGGUAAAGUCAAAGCCCCUGUUCUCUGCCUCACUGCUGGGACCACUCAGGCAUGGGAUGAACACUGUGCUUCCUAAAAGGCUGCUGCCCCACCUCCACCCUCUGUCUCUGAACACUCUAGAUGGUGAUGCUGGAGUUGGGACAUAGGGCCCUGCACACUAGACAAGUUAUUCCACAGCUGAACCGUACCUUAGCCCACCCUACAUAUCUUGAACAUGGCAGGAAAUGGAGACAGCAGGAAGCCAGGCUGCAGUCUCAGACUCCAAUUGGUUGAGGGCCUGUGAGGCCCAGAGGCAGAGGCAGAGCCCUGUCACAUUAGCCUGCAGUGACUCCUGUACAGAAAGUGGCUGUGGCACUGCCCUUCGGGGUAGUGACCUUCUGGAAGGGCAGAGAGGGGGAUGCUGUGAGCUGCAGGUACCAGAUCCCUCCUCCAAGAGAUAGGGUAUAUGAGUGUGCAGAUCAGGAAUCAUGCUGGCUUGGUGACCUACCUGGCCUGAGUGCCUCAUGAUACCCCUGCUACUGCUGCUGCUGUUUCUGUCUGGCAGUCUUGCACACCUGAGUUCUGCAUCUCCCACUUUGCUGAAUACACACACUGGUCACCCAGGAAACUUGGCUCUGAUGCUCCUGUGCUUUGGUAAUACACAUGCCCAGUGGUUCUGCUACUUGGAGUUCCCACUCCCCACUCCAAGCUCUUAGUUCCUAUAGAGCAAGGCAUGGUAAAACUUUCUUCUGGUCCAGCACUGAGCACAGUCUAAGUGUCGUGGACAGUAGGAGAUACGGCUUCUGCUCUAGGGAGCUCCCAGCUAAGUACAGGAGACAAACAAGGAAACUGCUGACUGCAAGAGACCUGAACAUCAGACUGCUCCUGAAACUGAGAUGAAUACCCUUGGCCUAAGUCAGUAGGAGCACUGAGUAUCUCUGGUUCCCAGACUUCACUCCUGACACCUGCAGCAAACCAAGGUCCUGAUUCUUCAGGUGGUGAUCGUGUGUUACCUACUCUGUGGACCCACCUACCUUGAAUACACCAUCAUUGGCCCCUAACGUAGCCUGCAGGAGGGCUCGGCUAGGCAUCCUAGGGCACACAGGACUCUGAGGCCAGUCUAGUAUGAUAUGGUGACUAUGUUGUAUCAGUGUUGGAAUUCCUUAUAUGGGGUGGGGGCUGUCGCUCUGGGCAGAGCUGAGCUGACAGAGGAAGGUGGGUUGAACACAGCAAGAUGGUUCUAGACAGGCAGAACAGAGAGCAGAGAUGGUCUGUGUGUGUGUGUGCACAUGUGCAUAUGUGCGUGUAUGCAUACAUGUGCGCGUGAACGUAUUGUGUGUGUGUGUGUGUGCAUACUUAUGUGUGUGCUCGAAUGCAUGUACAUGUUUUGCACGCAUGUGGUUCUAGGGUAUUUUGUUUGUUUGUUUAAACAAGCUCAUCAGCCAAGAAUAACAGAACCUCGUCUCCUGGCAUCAGCUCAGUUUUCAAAAAUAGGUUGCUUCCAAUGACAUUUUCCUUCACUCUGUUUUGUUCCAACUCAGAGCCUACUGGCCCCCACUGCUGUCAUAUAAAUCAAACAGAAAAAGACCAUGUCUGGGAGCCUGCGGGGGGCUGUCAUUUCAGAGUAGAAGAGGCAGAAACGGGUAGCUGUGUGAACAGACUCACUUUUCCUGGCUGGAGGCCACCGCCUUAUGUCGCCCUUCUUCUGCCCCAGCAGUCAACAACCAGCAGGCAGGGGCUCUCACAGAAUAGUGAGCCUUCCAUAUGGGAAAAUGCCGCUGUCCUCUUGGAACAUGGAGGGGUCAAAAUCUGCCCCUAACAUUCCAUGGGCAAUAUGGAAGACAGCCAGACUACUCAGGGCAGAAGUAGUCCAGAGCUCAGGAUGCUAGCCAGGGCACUAGAAGUAAGCAUAUUUGUCACCAGCCCAAAUGUUCCCACCAACAGACACAAGCUGCUCUUGACACAGUGUAAGUUGAUGACGAGAAGGUUCAGGGAGUUGGAGGAGAGGGGAUUGGAGGUACUGACCUCAGGAUGUACCUGUGGCUAGUUGUACUCAUGGGCAGUUGGCAUCUUGGUUGCUUCCUGUUUACGGCAAAGGUCUUCCAGGUGUGUCCUUCCACAGCCCAUGAGAGCAACAGGGAAACUUGUGAACUACUUGUCUGGAGAUUCCUGGAAAAGUGACUUGUACCUGAGGAAAGGCCAAGACCAAUAACACGUAGUGCUGUCAGCUUUGCUGGAGGCCCCAAGGAGUGGACCUUCCCUCCUCCCCGUCCCCUUUGCUGCUGCAACAGGACGAGUCUUCAGGACUGAAUUCUCUGUUCCUUUGCCUUGAAAAGGGUUUAGAGGAUAAAAAGAUUAUGUUGUGAGGUAGGGAUGAAACUGUCUCUUGAAGGGAAGAUAACUGCA